AUAAUUUUUACUACACUGAAAGCUGUAUUUUACUUUGUGAGCACUUUUCUUGUCAGACAUACUACUUUUCUAGUCGAAGAUGUCUAACUAGAGACUAGUUGUGGUGUUGAGCAUUGGUGUCCUUUUGCAGGAGAGAGGGUAUGUCAAGGUGUGACAUCCUGAGCCCUGCAGUCAAGGAUGGAGAAUUCUGAAGUUAGAAGCGAUGGAUGCACGAGGUGUCCCCAGCACUCAGCUGCUCAUGCGUUUGAAAUCGGAAGCAUUUACGCUCUGAUUCACUCUGUUCUCCUUGACCCCRGCUGCAAGGCUGCUUUCGGUCUCUCUUCGAACCUGUUGCCUGCCGAGGCGGGAGGAGGUAGGUAGCUCCGAGGGAGGCUGAGCAGAUUCUGCUACAAAAGGGCCGAUUCGAACUGACCGUUUGACGCAGGAUGGGUAUUAAUCGCUUCCUAAGGCAGAGACUUGUUUGUAAUAGGAUUCUUGCCUCUGCCUAGUUAAAUAUAAAAACUACAUGUUAACCUGCAAGACGGUAAUCCGCCAGCUUGCCCUGCUUUCUGUACUGAGUUUUAAAGGAGUCUCAAGACUUGUCGAUGAGAGCUGUAGCCUGUAGAUGUAUCACUGGCCAAGGUGCAAAUGAAAUUUUAAGCUUCUGUCGUAUACAGUAAGUUAAUGGAUAUUUCAGAUUAUUUUAAUUGUUAAUUGCUUUAUGAACACACUGAAUUUUCAUAUUUAUCUGUUUGCACAAAUGAUUUAACAAUAAGCAGAUUUCUACUGUAAAGAACAUUUACUCUUCAACCUGUGCUGGAAGUGGCCGUAUUAAAAACAUUCCCUCUUCUUAUUUCAAUGCGGUGGUUUAGCACCAUUUGUAAAUAUAUUUAAAAAACCAUUUUUGUUACAUUUGAAAACUGUAUGUAAAACAUUGUGUAAUGAUGUUAAAUGUGCUCAGUCAGCUUGAAAUUAAAGGAUUCGAUUCCUGGUCUGCCAGACUUCCUAUGUGACUCUGUAUCAGGUUAUUUAAUCUGUUAGAUUAUUAUGUGCUUGGAUUUUCCCACUAGUACUUGUCGUGAUGAUAGUGUUAGCAUUGUAUAAUUUAAGCUCUAAGUCGUUUCCUGUCAUCUUAAUUGUAUAGUUACUGAUGAGGUUGCUGUAGCAACAUUUAGGAAGGGUUCAGAGGGCAGGAGGAAAGGUGAGAGAGGGAACCUCAUCGAAAGCCCGUGACUCGUUCCUGGUAGCUGAAAUGGUAUAAUCCUUUACUGUUUUACUGAAUCGCUGUUGAGAUUGAAUGUUUGUGAAACUCUCAGCUUCUAGAUGAGCUAGAAUUAAACUAACUAAUAAAUUGCUGGGGUUUAAUUGUUUUUAAGUGUGU
rnacentral:lncRNA from 1 species